AGAGUUUGAUCCUGGCUCAGAACGAACGCUGGCGGUAGGCCUAGCAUAUGCAAGUCGAGCGAUGCCUUCGGGCAUAGCGGUGGACGGGUGAGUAACGCGUGGGAAUAUAUCCAGAGGUACGGAACAACAGUUGGAAACGACUGUUAAUACCGUAUGUGUUUUAUGGGGGAGGGGGUUUCGCCUUUGGAUUGGCCCGCGUUGGAUUAGGUAGUUGGUGGGGUAGGGGUUUAUUAAGCCUAUGAUCCAUAGCUGGUUUGAGAGGAUGAUUGGCCACACUGGGAUUGAGAUGUGGUCCAGACUCCUACGGGAGGUGGCAGUGGGGAAUCUUAGACAAUGGGCGAAAGCCUGAUCUAGCCAUACCGCGUGAGCGAUGAAGGCCUUAGGGUUGUAAAGCUCUUUCGCCAGGGAUGAUGAUGAUGGUAUCUGGUAAAGAAGUCCCGGCUAACUCCGUGCCAGUGGUUGUGGUAGUGUGGAGGGGACUAGCGUUGUUCGGAAUUACUGGGCGUAAAGCGCACGUAGGCGGAUUGGAAAGUUGGGGGUGAGGUCCCGGGGUUUGGUUUCGGAAUUGCCUUCAAAGUUUCCAGUCUUGAGGUCGAGAGAGGUGAGUGGAGUUCCGAGUGUGGAGGUGAGGUUUGUGGAUGUUUGGAGGAGCACCAGUGGUCCGGGUGGCUCACUGGCUCGAUAUUGACGCUGAGGUGCGAAAGCGUGGGGAGUAGGUAGGAUUAGAUGUCCUGGUAGUCCACGCCGUAAACGAUGAGAGCUAGUCGUCAGGGGGCAUGCCCUUUGGUGACGCAGUUGGUGCAUUAAGCUCUCCGCCUGGGGAGUACGGCCGCAAGGUUAAAACUCAAAGGAAUUGACGGGGGCCCGCACAAGCAGUGGAGCAUGUGGUUUAAUUUGAAGCAAUGUGUAGAAUUUUACCACCCCUUGACAUCGCCAUUGUGGUUUUUGGAGAUGGAGUUUUUUGGUUUGGUUGGAUGGAUGACAGGUGCUGCAUGGCUGCCGUCAGCUCGUGUUGUGAGAUGUUGGGUUGGGUUUUGUAGUGAGCGCAACCCUCGCCUUUAGUUGCCAGUGUUUGGUUGGGUAUUCUAAAGGAACCGCCGGUGAUGAGCCGGAGGAAGGUGGGGAUGACGUCAAGUUUUUGUGGCCCUUACGGGGUGGGCUACACAUGUGCUACAAUGGCGGUGAUGGUGGGUUAGUUUCCAAAAGCCGUCUUAGUUCGGAUUGUCCUCUGUAGUUUGAGGGCAUGAAGUUGGAAUUGCUAGUAAUCGCGUAGUAGUGUGACGCGGUGAAUACGUUCCCGGGCCUUGUACACACCGCCCGUCACACCAUGGGAGUUGGUUCUACCCGAGGGCCGUGUGCUGACCGUAAGGAGGCAGUGGAUCACGGUAGGAUCAGCGACUGGGGUGAAGUCGUAACAAGGUA
rnacentral:rRNA from 1 species